CCUACGGUGGGCAGCAGUGAGGAAUAUUGGUCAAUGGCCGGAAGGCUGAACCAGCCAUGCCGCGUGAAGGUCAGUGCCCUAUGGGCGUUAAACUUCUUUUGUGCGGGAGCAAUAAUGGUCACGUGUGGCCAGACGAGAGUACCGUACGAAUAAGCAUCGGCUAACUCCGUGCCAGCAGCCGCGGUAAUACGGGGGAUGCAAGCGUUAUCCGGAUUUAUUGGGUUUAAAGGGUGCGUAGGCUGUGAGGUAAGUCAGCGGUGAAAUGCCCCCGCUCAACGUGGUGAAGUGCCAUUGAUACUGGCUUGCUGGAAUGCGGAUGCGGUGGGAGGAAUGUGUGGUGUAGCGGUGAAAUGCAUAGAUAUCACGCAGAACACCGAUUGCGAAGGCAGCUCACGAGUCCGCGAUUGACGCUGAGGCACGAAAGCGUGGGUAUCAAACAGGAUUAGAUACCCUGGUAGUC
rnacentral:rRNA from 1 species